CUGGAUCCUCUUCACUCUGGCUUGCUGAUAGUUUUAUCUUGCAGCAUUAUUCUGAACGUUGCUCUCAUUUGUAUAAGAUGUAAACUGACCUGUACACACUGUGCAGAUGAAAAGAACAGUGAUAUAUCAAAAGUGGAAUGGUCACGCAAGCAAUGCCAUGACGAGGACACACUGAAUUACGCUGCCCUGAACCUUAAGAAGCCAAAACCCAGGAGACAGAAGAAAGACGGGAAUAAUGACACUCUGUAUUCUGACCUCCGCUACAGAGAUUAUGAAUAAAGAUGCUUCUCAUUCAUGUCAGUCACACAGAGUGUUCAGGGUGUAGCUUUAAUAAUGUUCAGAGGAGGGCAGGGGAGCCAGUGCUUCUGAGACUGAAUCACGGGAUUUUACGGAGCACCGGUGCUGAGUUUGGUGUCAGUGUGUUUGGGGCGCAUUUUUACUGGAAGUGCAAAUGUUCAAGCCAGACU